rnacentral:lncRNA from 1 species
UGGACAUGCAAAUAGCACAAGCAGCAGAGAAAGAAGGGGUUACACAGAUCAGAAUACCACCUGAAGGACUACAGUUUGAUGAAGUUCAUAGUCAAUGCAAAAGUGCGUGGUUUCUGAACUGCUACAGAAAGAGACUGGCUCGGGAGUUGGCUUCUGCCCUGCUGAUUGAUGUGCCUUCUCCACCAUCCUUCAGCACAAUCGGCGCAGCCCACCAGGAGUACCACUCAGGAGCCACCGACAUCAUUUGAAUGACCCUUCAUCACCUCCAGUCCUCUCUUAAAACUUCCAUUAAAAGAGGUCAAAUGCUGCCUCGGAGCCUGUUAGCAGCUCCCACCUGAAAGUCACCCAAUUUUCAUUUACAAUUUGUUAGUCAUUUGUGACGUGUUUUUCAGCAGUGCUCUUUUUAACAGCUUCCAGUUUGUUCAGUGUCUUUUCUCCACCUGCUCAGAGAACUUCUUCUGAUGGGAAAAGUUCAGUUGAUACCAAGGAAAGUUUAAUAUACUUCUAUGUUUAUCCUUUAAGAUUUCUUUUCUUUCUGGCUGAUAGGUGAUGAAACAACAUUCACACAACUACAAAGUUCCCCUUUCUAUGAUGGAUAAAUUUCAUGUCAUCCCAGAAUACCUGUUUAACAUUAAAAAGUUGAUGGAAAUCUUUGUUAUCAAGGAAGAUCUCUCAAAUAAAUACCCUUUUCCCCCCCAAAACAAAUCUGCAUUAUUUUUAUCUCCAUAAUAUAUAGAAGAUGACACAUUAUUUCAAAAUAUUAGUGUUCUCUUAUUCCCGGGCAAGUAGAGAAAGCUAUAAGAGCAUUGAAAUAGUGAUUGGUAUAUAUGUUAUUAUUGCAACCAAUUUUUCUACUGAUCUA